CCUACGGGGUGCAGCAGUGAGGAAUAUUGGUCAAUGGGAGCGAGCCUGAACCAGCCAAGCAGCGUGAAGGAUGACUGCCCUACGGGUUGUAAACUUCUUUUAUAAAGGAAUAAAGUGCGGCACGUGUGCCUUUUUGUAUGUAUUUUAUGAAUAAGGAUCGGCUAACUCCGUGCCAGCAGCCGCGGUAAUACGGAGGAUCCGAGCGUUAUCCGGAUUUAUUGGGGUUAAAGGGAGCGUAGAUGGGUUGUUAAGUCAGUUGUGAAAGUUUGCGGCUCAACCGUAACAUUGCAGUUGAUACUGGCAGACUUGAGUACAGUUGAGGUAGGCGGAAUUCGCGGUGUAGCGGUGAAAUGCUUAGAUAUCACGAAGAACUCCGAUUGCGAAGGCAGCCUACUAAACUGCGACUGACAUUGAGGCUCGAAAGUGUGGGUAUCAAACAGGAUUAGAUACCCCUGUAGUC
rnacentral:rRNA from 1 species